AGCGAACGCUGGCGGCAGGCCUAACACAUGCAAGUCGAACGAAGCCUUCGGGCUUAGUGGCGGACGGGUGAGUAACACGUGGGAACGUACCUUUUGGUUCGGAACAACACAGGGAAACUUGUGCUAAUACCGAAUGUGCUCUUCGGAGGAAAGAUUUAUCGCCAUUAGAGCGGCCCGCGUUGGAUUAGAUAGUUGGUGUGGUAAAGGCGCACCAAGUCUGCGAUCCAUAGCUGGUCUGAGAGGAUGAUCAGCCACAUUGGGACUGAGACACGGCCCAAACUCCUACGGGAGGCAGCAGUGGGGAAUAUUGGACAAUGGGCGCAAGCCUGAUCCAGCCAUGCCGCGUGAGUGAUGAAGGCCUUAGGGUUGUAAAGCUCUUUUGUCCGGGAAGAUAAUGACUGUACCGGAAGAAUAAGCCCCGGCUAACUUCGUGCCAGCAGCCGCGGUAAUACGAAGGGGGCUAGCGUUGCUCGGAAUCACUGGGCGUAAAGGGCGCGUAGGCGGACUUUUAAGUCGGAGGUGAAAGCCCAGGGCUCAACCCUGGAAUUGCCUUCGAUACUGGAAGUCUUGAGUUCGGAAGAGGUUGGUGGAACUGCGAGUGUAGAGGUGAAAUUCGUAGAUAUUCGCAAGAACACCAGUGGCGAAGGCGGCCAACUGGUCCGAUACUGACGCUGAGGCGCGAAAGCGUGGGGAGCAAACAGGAUUAGAUACCCUGGUAGUCCACGCCGUACACGAUGAAUGCCAGCCGUUGGGAGAGCAUGCUCUUCAGUGGCGCAGCUAACGCUUUAAGCAUUCCGCCUGGGGAGUACGGUCGCAAGAUUAAAACUCAAAGGAAUUGACGGGGGCCCGCACAAGCGGUGGAGCAUGUGGUUUAAUUUGAAGCAACGCGCAGAACCUUACCAGCUUUUGACAUGUCCGGUUUGAUCGGCAGAGAUGCCUUUCCUCAGUUUGGCUGGCCGGAACACAGGUGCUGCACGGCGGUCGUCAGCUCGUGUCUUGAGAUGUUGGGUUAAGUCCCGCAACGAGCGCAACCCUCGCCCCUAGUUGCCAUCAUUCAGUUGGGAACUCUAGGGGGACAGCCGGUGAUAAGCCGCGAGGAAGGUGGGGAUGACGUCAAGUCCUCAUGGCCCUUACAGGCUGGGCUACACACGUGCUACAAUGGCGGUGACAAUGGGCAGCGAAAGGGCGACCUCGAGCUAAUCCCAAAAAGCCGUCUCAGUUCAGAUUGCACUCUGCAACUCGAGUGCAUGAAGGUGGAAUCGCUAGUAAUCGUGGAUCAGCAUGCCACGGUGAAUACGUUCCCGGGCCUGUACUCACC
rnacentral:rRNA from 1 species